ensembl:lncRNA
UGGAUAGUUCAUUUGCCCUCAUCUAUUUCAGGUGUGGAGCCAAUUAGCAGCCAUUUGCAGGAUGGCUGUGUUAGAGCUGCUGCUUUCUUCUAAACUAUGCUGCACUGGGCUUCUCCGGGGGGAAUAUUCAGGGGAAAAAGUGACGACAACGCACAGCACAACUCGGAGAUGACGAAUACCGGAGCGGCCCCGCGAAGUGCCUGUGCUGGAACGGUUUUGUUCUCUGGUUAGCAUUUAGUGAGACGGGAAUCUACGUUUCUCUUCGCCCUCUGCAUUAGGUUUCCUUGUUUACUCGGUAAUGUGGUACAUACUUCUGUUUCCAUCCCACGGAGUUGAGCUGUUCGGUGAUGUUUGCCGUUAUCUGUGAUUUUGGUGGCGUUCCUGAUGGGC